UCCUUGGUGGGCUAGUGGCUCGCACGUGGCGCUCUCAUUGCUGUGGUCCGGGUUUGAUUCCUGGUCGAGGAA